rnacentral:rRNA from 1 species
GAUGAACGCUGACAGCAUGCUUAACACAUCAGCAAUUGAUUGGUGGCGGACGGGUGAGUAACGCGUAAAGAACUUGCCUCGCAGGUAGGGACCACAUUUGGAAACGAAUGCUAAUACCUAAUACUGUGGGAGAGCUGUGCGUCCCAUUAGCUAGUUGGAGAGGUAACGGCUCACCAAGGCGAUGAUGGGUAGCCGGCCUGAGAGGGUGAUCGGGCACAAAGGGACUGGGGCACGGCCCUUAGUGCUACGGGAGGAAUGAGUGAGGAAUAUACGACGAUGGACCAAAGUCUGAACCAGGAAUUCUGUGCGCACGAUGAAGUUUUCGGAAUGUAAAGUGCUUUCAGUUGCGAAACGGUACCAACAGAAGAAGUGACGGCUAAAUACGUGCCAGCAGCCGCGGUAAUUC